rnacentral:rRNA from 1 species
CAGUAGCCGCGGGAAUACGGAGGGUGCAAGCGUUAAUCGGAAUUACUGGGCGUAAAGCGUGCGUAGGCGGUUCGUUAAGUCUGUUGUGAAAGCCCCGGGCUCAACCUGGGAAUGGCAAUGGAUACUGGCGAGCUAGAGUGUGUCAGAGGAUGGUGGAAUUCCCGGUGUAGCGGUGAAAUGCGUAGAGAUCGGGAGGAACAUCAGUGGCGAAGGCGGCCAUCUGGGACAACGCUGACGCUGAGGCACGAAAGCGUGGGGAGCAAACAGGAUUAGAGACCCCUGUAGUCCCUGUCUCUUAUAC